rnacentral:rRNA from 1 species
UAAGCGGAGGAAAAGAAACUAACAAGGAUUCCCCUAGUAACGGCGAGUGAAGCGGGAAGAGCUCAAAUUUGAAAGCUGGCGCCUUCGGUCCGCGUUGUAAUCUCGAGAAGUGUUUUCCGUGCUGGACCAUGUACAAGUUCCUUGGAAUAGGACGUCAUAGAGGGUGAAAAUCCCGUCCUUGACAUGGACGCCCAGUGCUUUGUGAUACGCUCUCCACGAGUCGAGUUGUUUGGGAAUGCAGCUCAAAAUGGGUGGUAAAUUCCAUCUAAAGCUAAAUAUUGGGGAGAGACCGAUAGCGAACAAGUACCGUGAGGGAAAGAUGAAAAGCACUUUGGAAAGAGAGUUAAACAGUACGUGAAAUUGUCGAAAGGGAAGCGCUUGAAGUUAGACAUGCCUGCUGGAAUUCAGCCUUGCUUUUUGCUUGGUGUAUUUUCCGGUGAGCAGGCCAGCAUCAGUUUUGUCUGUCGGAUAAGGGUAGGAGGAACGUAGCCCCCCUCGGGGGUGUUAUAGCCUCUUACUGGAUACGGCGGAUGGGACUGAGGACCGCAGUGUGCCUUUAUGGCGGGCCUUCGGGCACCUUCACACUUAGGAUGCUGGCGUAAUGGCUUUAAGCGACCCGUCUUGAAACACG